UUUUGAGAUUUGAUCCUGGCUCAGGACGAACGCUGGCGGCGUGCUUAACACAUGCAAGUCGAACGAUGAAGCCCUUCGGGGUGGAUUAGUGGCGAACGGGUGAGUAACACGUGGGCAAUCUGCCCUUCACUCUGGGACAAGCCCUGGAAACGGGGUCUAAUACCGGAUACCACUCCUGCCUGCAUGGGCGGGGGUUGAAAGCUCCGGCGGUGAAGGAUGAGCCCGCGGCCUAUCAGCUUGUUGGUGGGGUAAUGGCCCACCAAGGCGACGACGGGUAGCCGGCCUGAGAGGGCGACCGGCCACACUGGGACUGAGACACGGCCCAGACUCCUACGGGAGGCAGCAGUGGGGAAUAUUGCACAAUGGGCGAAAGCCUGAUGCAGCGACGCCGCGUGAGGGAUGACGGCCUUCGGGUUGUAAACCUCUUUCAGCAGGGAAGAAGCGAGAGUGAC
rnacentral:rRNA from 1 species